UCUCCGUAGGUGAACCUGCGGAGGGAUCAUUACAGAGUUCUCGCCCUCGCGGGUAGAUCUCCCACCCACUGUUAUCGUUACUGUGUUGCCUUGGCGGGCCGCCGGGCCCCGCUCGGCCGCCGGCUCCGGCUGGCGCGCGCCCGCCAGAGGCCCAGCAAACUCUGAAUGUUAGUGUCGUCUGAGUACUAUAUAAUAGUUAAAACUUUCAACAACGGAUCUCUUGGUUCUG
rnacentral:misc_RNA from 1 species